GAGCGGAUGACGGGAGCUUGCUCCUUGAUUCAGCGGCGGACGGGUGAGUAAUGCCUAGGAAUCUGCCUGGUAGUGGGGGACAACGUUUCGAAAGGAACGCUAAUACCGCAUACGUCCUACGGGAGAAAGCAGGGGACCUUUGGGCCUUGCGCUAUCAGAUGAGCCUAGGUCGGAUUAGCUAGUUGGUGGGGUAAUGGCUCACCAAGGCGACGAUCCGUAACUGGUCUGAGAGGAUGAUCAGUCACACUGGAACUGAGACGCGGUCCAGACUCCUACGGGAGGCAGCAGUGGGGAAUAUUGAACAAUGGGCGAAAGCCUGAUCCAGCCAUGCCGCGUGUGUGAAGAAGGUCUUCGGAUUGUAAAGCACUUUAAGUUGGGAGGAAGGGCAGUAAGUUAAUACCUUGCUGUUUUGACGUUACCGACAGAAUAAGCACCGGCUAACUCUGUG
rnacentral:rRNA from 1 species